rnacentral:rRNA from 1 species
GGCGAGUGGCGAACGGGUGAGUAAUACAUCGGAACGUGUCCUGNGAGUGGGGGAUAGCCCGGCGAAAGCCGGAUUAAUACCGCAUACGCUCUGUGGAGGAAAGCGGGGGAUCUUUCGGGACCUCGCGCUCAAGGGGCGGCCGAUGGCAGAUUAGGUAGUUGGUGGGGUAAAGGCCUACCAAGCCGACGAUCUGUAGCUGGUCUGAGAGGACGACCAGCCACACUGGGACUGAGACACGGCCCAGACUCCUACGGGAGGCAGCAGUGGGGAAUUUUGGACAAUGGGCGCAAGCCUGAUCCAGCAAUGCCGCGUGUGUGAAGAAGGCCUUCGGGUUGUAAAGCACUUUUGUCCGGAAAGAAAACCUCUGGGUUAAUACCCCGGGGGGAUGACGGUACCGGAAGAAUAAGCACCGGCUAACUACGUGCCAGCAGCCGCGGUAAUACGUAGGGUGCGAGCGUUAAUCGGAAUUACUGGGCGUAAAGCGUGCGCAGGCGGUGAUGUAAGACCGAUGUGAAAUCCCCGGGCUUAACCUGGGAACUGCAUUGGUGACUGCAUCGCUCGAGUAUGGCAGAGGGGGGUAGAAUCCACGUGUAGCAGUGAAAUGCGUAGAGAUGUGGAGGAAUACCGAUGGCGAAGGCAGCCCCCUGGGUCAUACUGACGCUCAUGCACGAAAGCGUGGGGAG